rnacentral:rRNA from 1 species
GAUGAACGCUGGCGGCGUGCCUAAUACAUGCCAGUCGAGCGAACGGACGAGAAGCUUGCUUCUCUGAUGUUAGCGGCGGACGGGUGAGUAACACGUGGAUAACCUACCUAUAAGACUGGGAUAACUUCGGGAAACCGGAGCUAAUACCGGAUAAUAUUUUGAACCGCAUGGUUCAAAAGUGAAAGACGGUCUUGCUGUCACUUAUAGAUGGAUCCGCGCUGCAUUAGCUAGUUGGUAAGGUAACGGCUUACCAAGGCAACGAUGCAUAGCCGACCUGAGAGGGUGAUCGGCCACACUGGAACUGAGACACGGUCCAGACUCCUACGGGAGGCAGCAGUAGGGAAUCUUCCGCAAUGGGCGAAAGCCUGACGGAGCAACGCCGCGCGAGUGAUGAAGGUCUUCGGAUCGUAAAACUCUGUUAUUAGGGAAGAACAUAUGUGUAAGUAACUGUGCACAUCUUGACGGUACCUAAUCAGAAAGCCACGGCUAACUACGUG